AAAGAAACAGUUUCAGAUUCAGUUUCAUUAUUCGCCGUUGUUACUUUCCUGUUGAUGAAAUACUCCGACGAUUAAUCACUAGAUCGGAGAAGGAGAACAAUCGUUUGUGCAUAAAAUCCAUGAAAUAACUGAUUAAAUAGAAACAAAGAUUCAGAAUCAAAUUUCUUUUGGAAUAAAAAUGGUGAAAGGAAAAAUGAAUCCCCCUAGAAAAGAUGAUACAAUUACAGGAAACCUAAGGCAGUCGUUGAAUGCAGUA